rnacentral:rRNA from 1 species
UACGGAGGGUGCAAGCGUUAUCCGGAUUCACUGGGUUUAAAGGGUGCGUAGGCGGGUAUAUAAGUCUGUGGUGAAAGCUCCGGGCUUAACUUGGAAACUGCCAUUGAUACUGUAUAUCUUGAAUGUCGUAGAGGUUAGCGGAAUGUUGCAUGUAGCGGUGAAAUGCUUAGAUAUGUUACAGAACACCAAUUGCGAAGGCAGCUAACUAUGCGAUGAUUGACGCUGAGGCACGAAAGCGUGGGGAGCAAACAGG